rnacentral:rRNA from 1 species
AUACGGAGGAUCCGAGCGUUAUCCGGAUUUAUUGGGUUUAAAGGGUGCGCAGGCGGCCAUUUAAGUCAGCGGUUAAAUCGUGGGGCUCAACCCCAUUCUGCCGUUGAUACUGGGUGGCUUGAUUGCGGUCGAGGUUGGCGGAAUUCGUUGUGUAGCGGGGAAAUGCAUAGAUAUGACGAAGAACACCGAUUGCGUAGGCAGCUGACCAGACUGCAAAUGACGCUCAUGCACGAAAGUGCGGGGAUCGAACAGGAUUAGAUACCCUGGUAGUCCGCACAGUAAACGAUGAAUACUUGUUUUCGGCGAUAUAAUGUCGGAGGCAAAGCGAAAGCGAUAAGUAUUCCACCUGGGGAGUACGCCGGCAACGGUGAAACUCAAAGGAAUUGACGGGG